GCCAGGGCAUGGUGGUGCAUGCCUGUAGUCCCAGCUACUCGGGAGGCUGAGGCAGGGGGAUCACUUGAGCCCAGGAGGUUGAGGCUGCAGUGAGCUCUGACUGUACCACUGCACUCCAGCCUGGGCAACAGAGUGAGACCCUGUCUCAA
rnacentral:SRP_RNA from 2 species